rnacentral:lncRNA from 1 species
CCUUAAAGCAUAAUGGAAUCUAAUCUUCAUAUCCUUAUCCCUUUAGCAUGAUUGCUCAUUAUUAAAUUAAAUAAACUAGACCUAGAGAUUUAUAGAUUUCGUUGUCUUGAUUAAGAAAAAUGAGAUCUAUUCACUCAUCUACUCCAUAAAACACAAUAAUUUCACAAACCAUCUAAAGUAAAAAUCAAUUCAAGCAACAACCCACAUCUAUCCAUGAAUGAAUAUAGAAGUAUAUGAAUUCUAGAAAGAAUAGAGUGAAACAUGACUAAAAAGGGCUAGUCCGAUCACCAUAAAAUAUAAUCAUGAAAAUACUUGAUUCGAUUGCUUGAUCUUUGGACUUGACACAUUGAAUCCGUUUCUUGACUUAAUCUAAUUUGGCCUCAAAAUUUUUUAGAAAUUCUUCUGGAUUCAAAGCCCUACAUUUAGCCCUUUUAUCACCAUACAAAACUUGCUUCUUGUUACAACCCCGAUCAUCAUAUUGCUGCUUCCGUUUGUUAUUAAGAGACCUAUUUUGGUACAAAUCGAUCACUUGCUAUACAUCGCUAUGAUUUUCGGGCCAAGAAUCAAUCUGUCCGUCGGGCCCUAAGAUCAUGGCACAAGCUUUCACGUUACAUGAAACUGAUGAUUCCAUUGUGUUUCUUCUUUAUGCAUUCUUUUCUUGUCAAAAAUUCCUUUUUCUUGGCCCUCAACACAUCAUUCUUGAAAAUUUUUGUUUCGGCCCUCGAAUGAUUGUCCAUUCCACUACCAGUGAUUUUUCUUGGACGUGAAGUGUUUAUAUUACAAGAAGAGAGAAUUGAAACAGAGAGUAAUCAAGAUUGAGACAGUCGUAAUGUAAUUGAAACAGUGAGAAAUCAAGAUGAGACAGUAGUAAUGUAAUUGAAACAAAGAGAAAUCAAGAGACGUUGGGUUCACAGGCGGGAAUUGCAAUUAUCUAUUGUGUGUUCUAGGGCUUCC